GACGUAGGGUCCGAGCGUUGUCCGGAGUUACUGGGCGUAAAGGGCGCGUAGGCGGCUCUGUGCGUCACCCGUGAAAGCCCCCGGCUCAACCGGGGAGGGUCGGGUGAAACGGCGGAGCUGGAGGCAGCGAGAGGCUGGUGGAAUUCCCGGAGUAGUGGUGAAAUGCGUAGAGAUCGGGAGGAACACCGGUGGCGAAGGCGGCCAGCUGGCGCUGACCUGACGCUGAGGCGCGAAGGCGUGGGGAGCGAACAGG
rnacentral:rRNA from 1 species